rnacentral:rRNA from 1 species
AACGAAGGCUGGCGGCAUGCCUAACACAUGCCAGUCGAACGAGACCUUCGGGUCUAGUGGCGCACGGGUGCGUAACGCGUGGGAACCUGCCCUUAGGUUCGGAAUAACUCCCCGAAAGGGGUGCUAAUACCGGAUAAUGUCUUCGGACCAAAGAUUUAUCGCCUUUGGAUGGGCCCGCGUUGGAUUAGCUAGUUGGUAGGGUAAAAGCCUACCAAGGCGACGAUCCAUAGCUGGUCUGAGAGGAUGAUCAGCCACACUGGGACUGAGACACGGCCCAGACUCCUACGGGAGGCAGCAGUGGGGAAUAUUGGACAAUGGGCGAAAGCCUGAUCCAGCAAUGCCGCGUGAGUGAUGAAGGCCUUAGGGUUGUAAAGCUCUUUUACCCGGGAUGAUAAUGACAGUACCGGGAGAAUAAGCUCCGGCUAACUCCGU